rnacentral:rRNA from 1 species
CUGCCCUUAGUUGCCACUCUUCGGAGGGCACUCUAAGGGGACCGCCGGCGAUAAGCCGAGGAAGGUGGGGAUGACGUCAGGUCAGUAUGCCCUUUAUGCCCGGGGCUACACAGGCGCUACAGUGGCCAGGACAAUGGGAAGCGACCCAGUAAUGGGGAGCAAAUCCCUAAACCUGGUCAUGGUGCAGAUUGAGGGCUGAAACUCGCCCUCAUGAAGCCGGAAACGGUAGUAAUGGCGGAUCAGCUAAGCCGCCGUGAAUACGUUCUCGGGCCUU